rnacentral:rRNA from 1 species
UACGGAGGAUCCAAGCGUUUAUCCGGAUUUAUUGGGUUUAAAGGGUGCGUAGGCGUCCUGGAAAGUUACGGUUGAAAUCUCCUUGCUUAACAAGGAAACUGGCCGUAAAACUAUCAGGAUUGAGUACAUUUGAAGCGGGCGGAAUGUGUCAUGUAGCGGUGAAAUGCUUAGAUAUGACACAGAACACCAAUUGCGAAGGCAGCUCGCUAAACUGUAACUGACGCUGAGGCACGAAAGCGUGGGGAUCAAACAGG